rnacentral:lncRNA from 1 species
UGGGAUAAUGAUAAAUGUGCAAAACUGAAAAAGGGCUUAGAAUUUGGAUUAUUAGAAAAAGCCGAAAAGAUUGGGAAUUUGGAAUACAACUUGCAAGACACAGAUACUGAAAAGGCAUAUUGAUAUAGUUAGUGGAGAAAAAACUAAAAAAGGCAUGGCCCGCAGCUGACUUACUGUUUAGCAUAUAUAAUAUACAUGAAACUUCACUUUAGACCCUCGUUUUUUUUUCUAAUAUGCCCUCUAACUUCCUUAAAAUUUC